AACAUGACUCUCGGCAAUGGAUAUCUCGGCUCUCGCAUCGAUGAAGAGCGCAGCGAAAUGCGAUACAUGGUGCGAAUUGCAGAAUCCCGUGAAC
rnacentral:rRNA from 8 species